GGGCCGUUAGCUCAGUUGGUAGAGCGCGACAAUCGCACUGUCGAGGCCAGCGGUUCGAAUCCGCUACGCUCCA
rnacentral:tRNA from 1 species